UUAAGUUCAGCGGGUAUCCCUACCUGAUCCGAGGUCAACCUUUGUAAAAGGGGGUGUUUAACAGCAAGAACCCGCCGCACGACCAAAGCGAGAUGUGCUACUGCGCUCGGUGUGACUAGCGAGCCCGCCACUGGUUUCAGGGCCUGCGGGCAGCCGCAGGACCCCAACACAAGCAGGGCUUGAUGGUUGAAAUGACGCUC
rnacentral:misc_RNA from 1 species